AUGAAUUGAUCCCAAAACUAGAGGCUGAACAAAAAGUCACCCUCAGGGAAAAGCAGCAAGCCUCAGCUUUAGUUUUCUUCACCAGUAGGGUGACGGCAGCUGCUGCUGGUCAGAGCCUACAUGACCAAAUGGUUGACUCAUGGACAGUCAUAGAUGCUCCUGAACCCCGUCAGAUAAUAUGGAAAAACCUCCUGAUCAAGUUUUAUUCAAGGGAAAUAAGACAGUAUGUUGUGUACAUUAUCG
rnacentral:lncRNA from 1 species